rnacentral:rRNA from 1 species
CCUACGGGUGGCAGCAGUGAGGAAUAUUGGUCAAUGGACGAGAGUCUGAACCAGCCAAGUAGCGUGAAGGAUGACUGCCCUAUGGGUUGUAAACUUCUUUUAUAUGGGAAUAAAAUGUUCCACGUGUGGGAUUUUGUAUGUACCAUAUGAAUAAGGAUCGGCUAACUCCGUGCCAGCAGCCGCGGUAAUACGGAGGAUUCGAGCGUUAUCCGGAUUUAUUGGGUUUAAAGGGAGCGUAGGUGGAUUGUUAAGUCAGUUGUGAAAGUUUGCGGCUCAACCGUAAAAUUGCAGUUGAAACUGGCAGUCUUGAGUACAGUAGAGGUGGGCGGAAUUCGUGGUGUAGCGGUGAAAUGCUUAGAUAUCACGAAGAACUCCGAUUGCGAAGGCAGUUCACUGGACUGCAACUGACACUGAGGCUCGAAAGUGUGGGUAUCAAACAGGAUUAGAUACCCGUGUAGUC